rnacentral:lncRNA from 1 species
CCAUGAUGUUCCCAGGUUUUUGGAACCUAGUUUGGGAAACGCUGGCCUAUAGUGUAUUGUAAAAAAAUGUAACCUUUUUUUUAUCAGGGAGUGAACGCUGAGACAAGGGUCUAAUUUCCAGGCCUCAGCUGCUGAGGGCCUAACGGGUUGGAGACUCCAGUGAAUUAUCCAUAAUGGCCCUGUAUGUGUCCGAUCUGUGAAGUAUCUCCCUGUGAUGGGAGGCAGCUGUAUGCACACAGAGUACACAUUUUAAUAAGGCCAAUCCCAUCAGCAUGCCGGCCAGCCACAUUUGGGAUCAAUAAGGACCUGUGAUGCAUCAUCAUCAGUGUGGUGUGUUUGGAUGUCUGUUAGUGCUGCCGCGGCACCAACAUGGAGUGGGAAAAGCAAGCAUGGACAAAAAGCUGUAGUCCUGCUGUUCACGCAGAUGGAGAAGACAGGAGAGGAUGAUCUUCCAGGCAAAGCCAGCAGACAUCAUCAGACCAUUCUCUGGAUAUGAUGGGGCCAUCAGGCGGAUUGACCUGGACCAACGGGCCCCGGCAGGACCCGGCAGGCACCCAGCCGGCCAAGAUGACAAUGUGGAGGUGAGGAGAGGGGACCUUCAGGGCUUGGGAGCCCCCCUGUUCUCUCCUCUCACUCGAAGAUGUCCGUCUGCACUGAAACUGGGAAUCCUUCCAGGAACGUGGAAUAAUACGAUUCCAAUCCUAUUUCCCUCCUUGGUGGGUCUGGCUAGAUUCCUUUUGUAUUCAUGUAUUGUUACAAAAUAGUCUAUAAUGUGAUAACUUUGUGAUCUGUUACAUCAGUGAAAUAAUGCGGAAUUUGACCGUACUAGAAGGGAAGCCAAAUAAAUGCCUCAUCUCACUGAUAAAUAUUGAUUAGAUCACUGAUUAGAUGGUUAUCGUCAGUAUUAAAUAGAACAACACCACAUCCAAAACAAAAUGGUAUGAUAUGUUCAUAAGACAAUUAUGGACCGUCUUUAUGACUCAAUAUGUGAAACAUUUUCCUGUUGCUGUCCUCCUCCUCCUCCUCAUCCUCUGCUCCAGCUCUCCUGUAAACUAAUGCGGACUCUGAAUUUCUCCCCAGGCAAAGGGGCUGACAGCCAAUCGCAACAGAGCUCUCAAAUCGCUGUGUAUAUAACCCAAAACAAGCAAGGCCCGGUAAAUGUGUUUAUAAUAAACUAACAGGAUGCACGCAUGUAGGAAUGCUGAAAGACUAAUGCCUUGCUGAUGGAAGCUCAGAUCCUAACACAAUUUCAUGUUUAUAGUUCUUUAAAAAAUCCUCUCUCAGUGUGUGCUAUGCUAUGACUAGGCUGCCAGCGAGCGCUCUGUUCCUCUUUCACUGCUGUCCACAAAGGGAAGUGGCACUUGGAGUGAGGGGGGGGGACAUGUGUUUUUGAUAAAGCAUGUACAGUAUAUGUCAGGGCAGCAGCCCACUAUUGCAGCUAAUUCAUUCAGCUGAACGUGUAGUCAUGUUAUUGUUUCUACAUGUACUGUUAGUAAGGGAAUGGGAGCAGGGGGAAGGAUGUGGGAGGGGGCUACUGUAGUAGGGAGGGUUGAACUGUGCCAGUUAUAUGUUUUACUUUCUAAAGGAAAAGGGUGGUUAACAUCCAUCAACAGAGGACCAUUCCCAGUGAGGCAACACCUGAUCUGGUCUGAGGGGAGAACCUUUAGAGAAAGACUGAGGCAUACAGGGCUGAUGGGAGCUCCUGAGCUGAAUAAAAAACCCUGGAUUAUUUCACCGUCUUCAGAAGCAAUACGCAUGCAGUGACUCAUUUACUUCUACGUAAAGGGGGAACACACAAUGGAGUUAUUCUGCAGCAGCACUGGCAAACAUUUGAGGGAAACAGCUAAUCUACCGAGUGUCAUUAAUGCUCAGUGAUGCUUGAUGCUGAGGGCUUGGCAUUUACAGUACAUGACAUUUGUACAGGACAGUAUGUGGUGUCUUCCCUCCCAUGCCUUACAGCACUUCCCAGUCUAGCCCCUAAUUGGCUACCCUGUAAUUAAGAUCUGAGUUUGAGUGCAGGGAUACUGGGGGAAAGAUGAC